rnacentral:rRNA from 1 species
UUAAAUUCAGUAGCUUGCUACUGUUAGGGGGGUCUAUUAGUCUGUAUAGUAUCACUACUGAUGAGCAGCACGACCCUCUGUCUAUACCCUUGUCUUUUGCGCACUCAUGUUUCCUCGGCGGCUUUAUACCCGCCGGCUGGAUCAAUCUAUAACCUUUUUAAUUUUCAAUCAGCGUCUGAAAAACCUAAUAAUUACAACUUUCAACAACGGAUCUCUUGGUUCUGGCAUCGAUGAAGAACGCAGCGAAAUGCGAUAAGUAGUGUGAAUUGCAGAAUUCAGUGAAUCAUCGAAUCUUUGAACGCACAUUGCGCCCCUUGGUAUUCCAUGGGGCAUGCCUGUUCGAGCGUCAUUUGUACCCUCAAGCUCUGCUUGGUGUUGGGUGUUUGUCCACUAUCGUGGACUCGCCUUAAAGUCAUUGGCAGCCAGUGUUUUGGUAUUGAAGCGCAGCACAUUUUGCGCCUCUAGCCUAGAACACUAGCGUCCAGUAAGCCUUUUUCCACUUUUGACCUCGGAUCAGGUAGGGAUACCCGCUGAACUUAAGCAUAUCAAUAAGCGGAGGAAAAGAAACCAACAGGGAUUGCCCUAGUAACGGCGAGUGAAGCGGCAACAGCUCAAAUUUGAAAUCUGGCUCUUUUAGAGUCCGAGUUGUAAUUUGCAGAGGGCGCUUUGGCGUUGGCAGCGGUCCAAGUUCUUUGGAACAGGACGUCACAGAGGGUGAGAAUCCCGUACGUGGUCGCUAGCC